rnacentral:tRNA from 1 species
GUAAAUAUAGUUUACCUAAAACGUUAGAUUGUGAUUCUAAAAACAAGGAAUAAUAACCCUUUAUUUACC